GACGUAGGGUGCAAGCGUUAAUCGGAAUUACUGGGCGUAAAGCGUGCGCAGGCGGUUGUGCAAGACAGAUGUGAAAUCCCCGGGCUUAACCUGGGAACUGCAUUUGUGACUGCACGGCUGGAGUGCGGCAGAGGGGGAUGGAAUUCCGCGUGUAGCAGUGAAAUGCGUAGAUAUGCGGAGGAACACCGAUGGCGAAGGCAAUCCCCUGGGCCUGCACUGACGCUCAUGCACGAAAGCGUGGGGAGCAAACAGG
rnacentral:rRNA from 1 species